UACAUACUCCCUCCGUUCGGAAUUACUUGUCGUAGAAAUGAACGUAUUUUAGUUCUAGAUACAUCCAUUUCCGAGACAAGUAAUUCCGAACGGAGGGAGUAUUAC
rnacentral:pre_miRNA from 1 species